rnacentral:rRNA from 1 species
GAGUCUGCAACCCGACUCCAUGAAGCUGGAUUCGCUAGUAAUCGCGCAUCAGCCACGGCGCGGUGAAUACGUUCCCGGGCCUUGUACACACCGCCCGUCAAGCCAUGGAAGCCGGGAGUGCCUGAAGUGCGUGACCGCAAGGAGCGUCCUAAGGCAAUACCGGUGACUGGGCUAAGUCGUAACAAGGUAUC